GCUGGGCGAGGGCCGGCCUGGCGCGGGCGCGCUGGCGUUCCGCCAGGUGCUGCCGUUCCAGACGCCGGCGCAGUAC
rnacentral:tRNA from 1 species